UACGAAGGGGGCUAGCGUUGCUCGGAAUCACUGGGCGUAAAGGGCGUGUAGGCGGGAAGGAAAGUCAGAUGUGAAAUCCCUGGGCUCAACCCAGGAACUGCAUUUGAAACUCCCUUUCUUGAGUGUCGGAGAGGAAAGCGGAAUUCCUGGUGUAGAGGUGAAAUUCGUAGAUAUCAGGAGGAACACCAGUGGCGAAGGCGGCUCACUGGUCCGGUACUGACGCUGAGGUGCGAAAGCGUGGGGAGCAAACAGG
rnacentral:rRNA from 1 species